rnacentral:sRNA from 1 species
UGCCAGAUUGUUUGAAGCAGGGGAAGGGAGGUGGAGUGUAUUUCCUUGCCCAGGCCUGGCACAGGCAGCCAGGAGGACCAGCCUCACUUAAGGAUAAAGGCCUAUGCUGAGAAGAGCUCCUGUGAGUGACGCUGGCACUGGCUUCCCGCCUCACUCUACUUCCCCAGACCAGGUGUUCGGCUGCCAAUUGGAAUCACUCUGCCAGCGGGAAGGAGACACGGUGCCCAGCUUUGUGCGGCUCUGCAUUGCUGCUGUGGAUAAAAGAGGUCUAGAUGUGGAUGGCAUUUAUCGGGUGAGCGGGAACUUGGCAGUGGUCCAGAAGCUUCGCUUUCUGGUGGACAGAGAGCGUGCGGUCACCUCCGAUGGGAGGUAUGUGUUCCCAGAACAGCCAGGACAAGGUACUUACAUGGAAGACCCUUCAGAUCCCUAAAACUUCCACAUAUCCUCUUUGCUUCCUGUGGAAACCCCCAUGUACUAUUCCUGGGAGGGUUGUCCUCAUCCCCACCUUAGCUACCUUGCCCCACUGCAGACCCUCUAGGCAUUCCUAUAGUC